CGCUCGUAAAGGCCAACUUCAGGUCAUCCACUGCCUGGGUGGCUCUGGGACUUAAGGAAAACUUUAAGUUUCAAGGCUUCUUCAAGGACUCGGAGAGUGGUGCCGCUAGCGUAGCGAAGUUCUUGACGAACCGUCGAUACCAUCCCGCUGUGCCGAGGAAGGCACGUACUUCCUUCAUGGAUUUCGCGUAAGGCAGGAUUGCCGAAAAACGUCCAGGAUCCAUUCGCAGUAGUCCAUCUCCGACUAUAAACCCUUGACUGUGGGCUACUUGACGCAAGUAUUUCAAAUGCGCCUGGAAAUCUGAAGCGACGAUUAGCAGGUCGUCCAAGUAGACGAAGACGUUGGAUCUGAGCUCCGCUGGUAUCACCCGAUCCAUGAGCCGGACCAAGCGUUGUGCCGCGUUUUACAGCCCGAAUGGCAUCAUUCGAAACUAGCACAACGGCCUGCCUGCAACCGUGAACGCAGUAUACUCCCUGCUUCUCUCAUCCAGCUUAAUCUGCCAAAACGCAAACUUCAGGUCUACGCUGGAGAUGUAAUGCGUCUGAUCUAUCCUGGAGAGGAUUUCUUCAAUGCUGGGCAGAGGGUAUGCGUCCUUAAUAGUCAAGGCGUUCAACCUCCGGACAUCCAGGCAGAACCUGUCUUUCCCUGGCUUCGACACCACUGUUGUGCGAUUCCUCCACGGGAUUUUGCUCUCCUCGAUGACACCCAGCUCCAACAUCUUCCCAGCUCCUUCCAUCAGCUCAAUGGAAUUCCUCUCCAUGCUGGUGACUCCGAGGCCGUCUCUUUCAAAGGUAAGGAACUCCUCUUGGCCUUGCCUAACGCCAUCUUUUCCUCCGCAGAAAGGCUCCAGGAUUCGGGUUCCUCCCUUACCUCGUCCUCAUCUUCCUGAUCGGCAUAGUGCUCCAUUUGGCUGGCAUGGAUUUCCUCCGCUGCCUUGACGCCUAGUCACCGGCUUCCCCACGACGGCUGAAGCUAGUCCGAAGGCUCGCCAGAAGUCGACUCCGAAGUACGCAGUUUGUUCCAGGCAGCUCCAAGCGUCCGAUGAUGGAUCGAUCUUCGCCAGAAGCCGUCUAGACUACCGAAAAAUACGGUUGGACGGUAACUCCCAUCGUUUCCACGAGCUCUCGACAGCCUUUGCCCAGCACACUUACGCUGGCGCCUGUGUCCAACAAGCCGGUGAGCUGCUUGCCCAAGGUCUCCACGUCGGCGAAGGGUCUAGGAUCGGCGGAAUCAAUGCGUUUAACGGCCGCCACCACCUUUCGACGUCUGGAUCUCCUCAUCCUGAAGCGCUCCCUUGCCUUCUGGACUCUCCGUGAGACUAGACGCAUGCCGCACAGUUGAUGUUCCGCAAAAAUCCGGUUACGUGCCUCCAUAUAACGGAGAAGCCUUUCAUCCUUCGGUAGGUAUCUUAACAAAUACUUAUGUCUAUUAGAUGGACUAUAUACAUUCUUGUUUUCAUCUUCUUCCUUCGGAAUUACUUCGCGGGAUUCCAACCUGGUCGAGUCCCUCCCGCUUUCGGACUGCCCAGCCGACCGUUUUCCGAAAACAGAAUCUCCUCCACUCCGUAGCCUCGCAGUCCUGGAAUCCGUACUCCGCAGCCCCGCAAUUCCAGCAACCUGGCCUAAAUGGGUUUCGGACACGUCCACAGAGCUCUUCUACUUCGAAGCGUUGCUGCUCGUCGACUUCGUCCGGUAUGAGCGCCUCGCUGACCCGUAACUUGCCCUGCUGCAAGUAAGCAGCACGCCCUCGACGACCAAAACUCCUCUCUACUUCGACGCCCUCCUCCCGAAUUUCGUCCACCGUGAGCGUGAGGCGAAUUGCUGCAUCGCUGCUCUCCCGGCUGUUGAUCACGUUGUAGAAGCUCAUCAGAGCUCUGCGCAGCUGGGCCCAAGUGUUCACUCUGGAUUGCCGUACGUGUACCCAGUACCACUCCUUCGCUCUGCCCGAUAGGAGUACGUGGAAGUAGCGCAGAACUUCACUCCACGGACACUGAUGCUGCCGCUGCAGGAACUCUAGACGGAACACGAAAUCGUCCACGGAAUUGCCAUCAUCCUCGCCGCCGAAGGAGAGGUUCCAGUGGUCCACUCGGAUGAAGCGGUUCCCGUUGCCGGCUCCCGCGUUGGCGUACAACCGCGGCUCGUCCCGAAAAUCCACCGUCCUUCGGUCCUCGAUGCGCCACGGCCGUGCGUGGCGAUAACUCCUGCCUGCCGAAUGAUACUUUGGUUGCUGGCUCAGGCUGCUGUCGAUCCUUGGAGAGUCGUUCACCAGCGGUCGAGGUCGCUGCCUGGGUGGCAAUUCCGUCGGCCUUUGGUAGCCUCCUCCUGUCUCCUGCCGCUGCUGAAUUUCCGCUGGGCCAUUUGCGCCGCCCUAUGGACACGACGGAGUGGGCACCAUUGAUACUUGGCGACUCGUGCCCUCCUGGAGCGGCUGCGGUUUGCUCUCGACUAGCCUAAGGACAUCGUUCAGCAACUUCAUCAUGUCCAUGAAGCCGUUCUUGAUCUCCUACCUCAACGCGUGGCUAACUCCCAACUCCUGCGAUGCACGAUAUGUGUGGGCCGCUUGUGCCAGGGCUGCGUUCAUCGCCGACUCCGCCACUGUAUCCCGUUCCAGGCUCAGCUUUUGCGGACUCUUCUGCUCCGGAACCAGAACCGGAACCUGCGUCUCGACGAUCGCCUUGAAAUCAAGGACCCUAAGCGACCGAUGGUGCACCAGGUCCGCCGGUUGAUCCCUAAUCCGAUCCACGGCACUACCGCCUACCGGCGUUCUGGGUAAACCUCCAGCCAGCGACAUCCGCGGCAACUCCGCAGCACCCUCUACGUCCGUGGACCAGAUGUGGUCUUUUUCGUCGCCAGGAGGACCCAUCGACCUAAGCUGGUGGCCGUGCCUAUCUUUGACGUCUUUACCUUCGGACAUGAUUUCCCAGACUUUUCAAAUAAAUACU